rnacentral:lncRNA from 1 species
CUCAGAUAACUUUGUUGUUAGCCCUAUUUUUAAGCACAUAUCCUAUUCUGUCUUUUGUUACAGUCAGAGGAUGUUGUAAUGGUUGAAAGGGUACUCUGGAAUCAGACUUGCUGGAUUUGAUCCCAUUUCUACAUCACUGCUACCUCAAGAAGUUCCUUCACAUUGCUGUGCCUCAGUUUCCUCAUCUUUAACAGCUCCACACACAACAUGGGGCUGGAACUGACAACCGGGAGGUCAAGAGUUGCGUGCUCUGAGGACUGAGCCAGCCACCUGCCCCAAAAUACCAGUGAUUUUGAAAAAGAUUCC